rnacentral:tmRNA from 1 species
GGGGAUGUUUUGGUUUUGACACAGAAUUAAUCGGAAGGUAAGCAUGCCGGGCGUUGUUUGUAUGGCCCGUUAAUCCUAACAUUCAGCCUAUAAUUGGCAACAACAACUAUGCACUCGCUGCGUAAUUAAGCCAAGCUUAAUACCUUAAUCGCCAAGGCCAAGGAGCCCGUGCGACGAGUACCCCGCCUCUGCUUUAGGCCGGUUAUGCAAGGCAACUGGGGUAUCAUUCAAACCGGAUGCGUAUGCCAACUCCUCUAAGGCAUAUUAAGAUUUAGAGGAUAAGGUUAUGAUGGCCAGCUCCUAAGCAGUCAUCUCCCUACAAUUAAAUAGGAGCUAAGCAUGUAGAAAACUUUUGGAUGGUUUUGUUGGACGAGGGUUCGAGUCCCUCCAUCUCCACCA